CUGGCGGCGUGCCUAAUACAUGCAAGUCGAACGAGAACCCUUGGAUUCGUCUGGGGGGGAGAGUGGCGAACUGGUGAGUAACACGUGGGUGACCUGCCCCGAAGACGGGGAUAACCGUUGGAAACGACGGCUAAUACCCGAUAUACUCGGUGAUUCGGUUCAUCGAGUAAAGGCUCCGGUGCUUCGGGAUGGGCCUGCGGCCUAUCAGCUAGUUGGUGGGGUAAUGGCCCACCAAGGCGAAGACGGGUAGGGGGCGUGAGAGCGCGGCCCCCCACACUGGCACUGAGAUACGGGCCAGACUUCUACGGAAGGCAGCAGUCGGGGAUAUUGCACAAUCGGCGAAAGCCGGAUGCAGCGACGCCGCGUGGGCGAUGAAGGCCUUCGGGUUGUAAGGCCCUUUUAUGGGGGAAGAGACAAGGACGGUACCCCAAGAAUAAGCGUCGGCUAACUACGUGCCAGCAGCCGCGGUAAAACGUAGGACGCAAGCGUUAUCCGGAUUUACUGGGCGUAAAGAGCGUUGAGGCGGUUCCGUAAGUUGGGCGUGAAAGCCCCGGGCUUAACCCGGGGAGGUCGUUCAAUACUGCGGGACUUGAGGGCAGCAGAGGGAGGCGGAAUUCCCGGUGUAGCGGUGAAAUGCGUAGAUAUCGGGAGGAACACCAGUGGCGAAGGCGGCCUCCUGGGCUGUUUCUGACGCUGAAGGCGAAAGCUAGGGGAGCGAACGGGAUUAGAAACCCCGGUAGUCCUAGCCGUAAACGAUGGAUGCUGGGUGUGGGGGGUAUAGAUCCCCUCCGUGCCGAAGCUAACGCGUUAAGCAUCCCGCCUGGGGAUUACGGCCGCAAGGCUUAAACUCAAACGAAUUGACGGGGGCCCGCACAAGCAGCGGAGCGUGUGGUUUAAUUCGAUGCUACACGAAGAACCUUACCUGGGCUUGACAUGUAGGUAGUAGUGAAGCGAAAGCGGAACGACCCUUCGGGGAGCCUACACAGGUGCUGCAUGGCUGUCGUCAGUUCGUGCCGUGAGGUGUCGGGUUAAGUCCCGUAACGAACGCAACCCUUGCCCUUAGUUACAUGUGUCUAAGGGGACUGCCCGGGACAACUGGGAGGAAGGUGGGGAUGACGUCAAGUCA
rnacentral:rRNA from 1 species